AACGAACGCUGGCGGCAUGCCUAACACAUGCAAGUCGAACGAGACCUUCGUGUCUAGUUGCGCUCGUGUGCGUAACGCGUGGGAACCUGCCCUUAGGUUCGGAAUAACUCCCCGAAAGGUAUGCUAAUACCGGUUAAUGUCUUCGGGCCAAAGAUUUAUCGCUAUUGGAUGGGCCCUCGUUGGAUUAGCUAGUUGGUAGGGUACAAGCCUACCAUGGCGACGAUCCAUAGCUGGUCGGAGAGGAUGCUCAGCUACACUGGGAAUGAGACCCGGACCAGACUCGUACGGAAGGCAGCAGUGGGGAAUAUUGGAGGCGGGGCGAAAGCCUGAUACAGCAACGCCGCGUGAGUGAUGAAGGCCUUAGUGUUCUAAAGCCCUUUUACACGGGAUGAUAAUGACAGUAACGGGAGAAUAAGCACCGGCUAACUACGUG
rnacentral:rRNA from 1 species